rnacentral:rRNA from 1 species
AGAAUCAACGCUGGCGGCGUGCCUAACACAUGCAAGUCGAACGAGAAAGUGGUAGCAAUACCAUGAGUAAAGUGGCGCACGGGUGAGUAACACGUGACUAACCUACCCUUGAGUGGGGGAUAACUGAGGGAAACCUUAGCUAAUACCGCAUAAUACCCACGGGUCAAAGGAGCAAUUCGCUCGAGGAGGGGGUCGCGGCCGAUUAGUUAGUUGGCGGGGUAAUGGCCCACCAAGACGAUGAUCGGUAUCCGGCCUGAGAGGGCGCACGGACACACUGGAACUGAAACACGGUCCAGACUCCUACGGGAGGCAGCAGUGGGAAUUUUGCGCAAUGGGGGAAACCCUGACGCAGCAACGCCGCGUGGAGGAUGAAGUCCUUCGGGACGUAAACUCCUUUCGAUCGGGACGAUUAUGACGGUACCGGAAGAAGAAGCCCGGCUAACUUCGUGCCAGCAGCCGC